GGCACAAACUCGAAGUAGAGUAGUUUAGUAGGGUCAGAUGAUCUUUCUAAUCUACUCUACUCCGAAUCUGAGCCC
rnacentral:pre_miRNA from 1 species